rnacentral:rRNA from 1 species
GCCUACUGCCGUACCACCCUGACACACCCGAUCUCGUCUGAUCUCGGAAGUUGAGGAGGGUCCGGCCUGGCUAGUACUAGUACUUGGAUGGGAGAGCUGUCCCUA